UUUCUUUUUUUUGGUUUUUUUUUUCCUUUUGCUUUUUUGUUGUUUUUUUCUCCUUUUAAUUUCUAAUUUGUGUGGGUUUUUUUCAUUUGUAUUUUUUGUUUUUUGCUGUGAGGCACUCUGUGGGGCGCUCUGUGUUGUUGGAAUUUCUUUUUUUCUUUUUUGUGUGUCUUUUGGUUUUUUUUUGUGGGUUUUUGUUUUAGGUUUUUUUUUUUCAGAUUUGUUGCUUUAAAUGUGAUUAUUUUCAUUUGCUGUUUUUUUUUUCCCUUCGUUUUCCUACAUUAUUUUUGUUUCUGGUCUUUUUUUGUGUGUGUUUUUUGUGCUUUUGUUCUGUUUUUGUUUUCUGUUUGCUUGUGUGUGUUAUGAUUAGAUUUUUGUUCUGGUGUUGUUUGUUCUUUUUCAUCUUUUAUUUUUGGUAUUUUAUUUUGUGGGCUUUUGCUUUCCAUUGUUCUUCUUUAUUCGUUUUUGAUUUAUUGCUUCUUUUUCUCUUAGUUUUCCUUUUUUUUUUUUGUGCAUGUGUGUUUUUGUGUAUUGUGCUUUUGUUUUUGCUUUUUGUGUUUUAUGGCUACAUUAUUGUUUUGCUGUUUCGUUUGGUUUUUUCUUCUCUUUUUUUUUUGCAUUUCUCGUGUUUCUCUUUCUCCUAAUAUGUGUGAUUUUUGUGUAUUUUUCUUUGUUGUUUGGUUUUGCA
ensembl:lncRNA